UGAUUGGAAUUUUCGUCAUGGCGGAUUUCAUCGAUGGAAUUAAUCUUCUUCAUUGUUUGUUAAAUUUUUUGAGUUCCGCUGCGAUCAAAUCAACCAGCCGAAUUUCUGCACUCUUCUUGAGGACUAAUUAUGUUAGGAAGAAGAACAAAUUAAAGGAUAGGGCCAAAAUAAAAAAGAUAAUUUUAUUUUUUAUACAAUGUUGUUUUUUACUCAAGUUGUUGUUAAUUAUUAAUUAAUUUCGUGAUUAUGUAGUUUGAUAUGAUAAUCCAGCUGUAAUGUGAAGGAGAGGGAAACAAACAUUGCGCCACGUGGGCCAAUUGCUUCUGUUUGGAAACUGAUUUUGUCUUCUUUUGUGAUUUGUUUAUACAUUAUUGGGGUUAUCCUGAUGUUUACAGUAAUUAAAGUAAUUUCAUUACUUACGGGCCAUCAUAUUUCAAAUACUUUAUCGAAAAAAGUUUGUUUGGAACCAAAAUAAAAUUUAUGUCAUUUUUUGAGCUUUGGUAUUAACUUAAAUAAUGCGGUUUUAAAUUAUUUUAAUACCUCCUUCACUCUUAAGUUUUUUAUAUGUCUCAGUAUUUUAAGAAUGUAAUCUUUCUAUUAUUAAAUACUAUAUUGAAUAACUGAACUAUAUAACAGUGUUAUUUAUUUAAUUAAUUAUUGUGAAGCAUUGUUGCUGUUGUUGUUUCGUUGUGACUGACUGCCCGACAAACUUGAGAAUACGUGAGGUGGGUACUGAUCCAGAUUCAUCACUACUAGAUGGGAAAUUGGGAAUGUAGCUUUUGGAUAAGCUUUUUUAUCCAAAACUUUGUUAGUGCGUUUGCAAGACUUUCAGUCGAUUACAUAUAUACUUGAAUGACAAAGAAUAAAACAUUCACUGGUCUAAAAUAUAAAGGGAAGAGUUAAUCAAGUCAUCAGACUCCCUUACACUCCCCCUAGUUAGAAUACACCUACUCUUGGGUUGUAGCCUACAAUAUUACUAUAGCCAGCGAUGAAUCUCCACUACUCCAGCUUAAUCCAUGACGUCAGAGGCCGUAAGAAUUCAUACUGGACAGUGAUAGAUUAUAUGUCGUUUUUCUUAAGGUUGUAACGUAUCCUAUGAUUCUAUGGGUGUUGUGUGGUUGUUUUUGAUAAGAUCAAGAUUGGUGGGAGAAAAGGGAAUCCAACUCUAUCCACAAUUCAGGGAUCACAGACGACCUUUUUCUACUUAAUAAUUAAUAUAAUUAUAAAUCCCAACCCUGCAGAGUUACUUCUUCAUAUUUUCACUAAUUAAUUGUCAGCACCCUAUACUUCACUUUUUUCCCAUGCAUAUUCCUAACUGUUAACGGUUUCAAAUUGUUUUAUGAAUAUUAAUUACUGAAUCAACAUGUGUGCGCCAGCAAGUGUAACAGAAACCGCAUAAUUUUUAGUCGGGCAAUUUUUUUAUAAACUAUAUGUUUUAAAUAUUAUUAUUAUUAAAUGGUGGCAUCCACCAUCUAGUAUUUAUAUAUUAGCAACAGCAGAGUAUGGGAUUGAAUAGGAAAGUUGGCAAAUGCAUGUGAUGUGCUCAUGGCUGUUUGGCUAGCCGAGCCCUUGAAAAAGUCCGAUUUUAAAUGAAUCAAGUUAGUCACAAAUUGAUUCGAAUUUAAAUCCAAUUUGAAUCUAAUUCAAUUAUUAAUCUCAUUAAUAGACUCAAUAAUAUGUGAUAUAUGUUUUUACCUCAAAUAUAAUAUACACUAUACAAUGAACUAUCAUGUAACCUACAGUGCUUAAGUUUUAUUAUUUCAUAUGCAUCACUUCCUACUCUUCAAUAUAUAUUUUGUUGUGACAGACUAUAACGUGAAAUUAUUAUUUAGUCGAAGUUAAAAUGAGCACACAGGUCCAGGUGGUAGAUUUGGGGGGGAAUACAAAUACGUAAGAGACAAAAGCCAUGACAACGGAGCCACGUGUGAUUGCAGAGUUGAAGCAUCUCUCUCUCUAAUUGGGCGACACGUGUCGCACAUCCUAUGCCUUUGUCAGAAUGACCCCGACAAUGUCCCUUCUUCACUCUUCCAAAACGACGUGGACUCCGUGGCAGCCGCUGAUUCCACGUCAUCGCCAGGUUGUAUAUAUGUCUUCACGAUCAAAACUAUUUUAACUACAUAGUUGUAUCGUACUCCGUGCUAGCCGACACAUAUUUCGCUCGUGGUUAGUAAAAGAAUGGUUUAAAAUUUAAAUUUUUUAUUGAAAUUAUAUUGAAUUGAAUUUAAAUUAAAAUUUCUAUAUCAAAUAAUUAAUUUUUAAAUGUAAUUUUAAGUUUUAAAAUAUUCAAAAAAACAUUAUAUUUGUUGUGUUGUUUUUAGUUAAAGUAAGUUGCUUUUAAAAGUUGAAUAUGUUAACGAUAAUUUUUUUUUAAAACCAAGUAAUAAUAAAUAUGAGUACUGAGCCGGAAUUAUGAUUAAUAUGUAUUAAUUAUUGAGCCGGAUCUAAAUCUUUUUAACCAGAUUACCUAAAUUUACUACUUGAGACCAAAAUUGCCCUGAUCCGUAGCUCACAUGAGCACCCCCUUCCAAUCCCCCACUGAUAAGAUCCAUAAUUAAACUUUCUUUUAAUAACUUAAAUUGUUAGGAAAAAGUGUUGUCAACCGUUACAUCCCAAUAACUCAAGUUAUUGAAAGUUGUAGUUUACGAUAAUAUGAUCAUAGAAGAAGAGNNNNNNNNNNNNNNNNNNNNNNNNNNNNNNNNNNNNNNNNNNNNNNNNNNNNNNNNNNNNNNNNNNNNNNNNNNNNNNNNNNNNNNNNNNNNNNNNNNNNNNNNNNNNNNNNNNNNNNNNNNNNNNNNNNNNNNNNNNNNNNNNNNNNNNNNNNNNNNNNNNNNNNNNNNNNNNNNNNNNNNNNNNNNNNNNNNNNNNNNNNNNNNNNNNNNNNNNNNNNNNNNAUGAGGACUGCUGUUUGGAAAGAUUUAUGAGAUGACAUUAUAUUUAUGAUUACUACAUAUGAAAUGAUGCUGGUCAACCCCACAAUUCCUUAAUUUGAAGGGUAACGACAAAUUAUAAUAAUUAAUUAAUAAAGGUUAGAUAAAGAUUGGAAUGAAGAGAUGGAAAAUUGUAUGGGAAUUGGGAUUUGAGAUACGUGUGGGGAGUUGGCUAAUAAUUUCUGACCUAACACUUAUGUGGACAUGAAGAAGAAGAAGAAGAAGAAGAAGAAGAAGAAGAAGAAGAAGAAGAAGAAGAAGAAGAAGAAGAAGAAGAAGAAGAAGAAGAAGAAGUAGGAGAAGUAAACAACGUUUGAAUUUAUGGUUUGAGGGUAUGAGCGGAGUUUUAAAUUUUUAAAACCAAAUUAUAUGAAAGUAGAAUACUUUUGAUUUAGAAAAUUAUACACGCAUUUUAUCUAGUCGGUACGGAGAAUUUUGGACAAAUCUCUGUAUUGAUAAUUGUUAUUGAUCAUGUUUUUUCUACUUUAAUCGUCUUUCUAUGGACUCAAGCAAGUUCCUUUCUCGUGUCUCUGCACCGCUCUCGCCGCCUACGGCUUCAAAGGCUUCCAAACAGAUCACUCCUACCGGCCUGCAAAAUCACAAAGUUUACAAACAACCAAUCAUAAGACAAUUGAAACAUCAUGUAAGAUUUGGGCUGAAAUUACAACAAAAAAUAUGUACUUGGAUGAUGUUCAUUAUACGUAUCUGGGUAGAGUCCAUCUCUUUUAACUGGGACUGGAGAGGAUGACGAACAAAAUCAGAAUCAAUUAGGCCAACUAACGAAUAAAAGACUGAGCACAAAUUUACCUAGAGGAUGAGGGAGCUCUACCGACAUUUUAAUAUAAAAUCCACGCUUCAGUUCUUUCCAUUUGACAAGAGAUAGGAGUCACCAUCUUCAAAAUCCGCUUCCUUGUCAUCAGGAAAACGAGGCUGCUUCCUUUCUCUUAUAACCAUCUCGCCGAGUUAGCGCAAAUGUUCGGAGUUACUCUCUGCAGAAAAUUUAGCUAUACGGCAACAAGAAUAUCACAGUAUGGAGAAAUGUUUCGCUAGGUUCAUAUAUUUACAUGAUCAUAAAUUAAUUAGAUGUACAAAAAUAACAAUACCAACCAUUGUUGGAAUAGGCACCACCAUAAUCACACCCAGAACAAGGAGCAGAAGAAUCAGCUGCACACUCAUUUAAGAUCGAUAAUUUGUUGAAUUUAAUUAUAGAAUUUGUGGACUGUGCUCGUAAUAAAACCUCUAGCUAAUGAGAAUUUUAGUUGUCACACGGUAAUUUCAGAAACAGUGUUUUAAAUUGUCCAAGUGACGUGUAUUAAGAGAAUUUUUACUAUAACUGUGGGUUUGUGUGUUCAGUGGACAAUAAAGGAAAUCAAUUCUUCACUUUCCAACAUUACAUUUAUAACUGAAUCGCUAUUGUUUCGUUGAAAUUAUUUGUGGCCUAUGAUUGUCUUGUGGUUUGAAAUUCUAAUUCUGUAGUAUUGGCUCCAGCUGCCAGAGGAUAUGUUAAGUGAACGGAUGAGCAGGACGAUGCUAUCAUUCUUGAUUGGUCAAUUACGGUAUUGCAUAUUGCGUCUAUCGUUAUAAUGAACAUUUGGAAGCCAUUCAUGAGAAGUCUAGAGGACAGAUUGAAGGCAAAAUUCGAACAAUUAACAAGCAAAUUGAGCACCAAAAACAAGAUCCCCUUCCAUAUCCUUGGUUGCAUCAAUUUGCGUUUGGAGAUGAGCAAUUGCCCCCCUCCAUAGCCUGCUCCAGCAACUAGUUCUGAUACUUUUACAAAUCCUCUUAAAUAUGCUAUCAACCCUAGAAAUCUUUUUGUAUCUAUGUUGGUGCUGUUAUAAAUCCUCUUCAACUUGCUAUCAACCCUGUUGGAGAAGCUAUUACCCACCUGAUCUGUUUAAUUCAAUAGAACCAACACAAGGUUAAUAACACGCUGAAGAGAAUUUGCAAUGGACCAACAUCUAUGGCUACAUGGUGGGUAUCAUAUAUACAUAAUUGAUAAUAGGGUUGAGAGGAUUUGCAAAAAGAUCAAAACAUGAAGUAAUUGUUCAUCCCCAAGCACAAAUUUAUGCAACUAAGGAUAUGGAAGUGGAUCACGGCGCUCAAUUUGCUUGUUAAUUGAUUGAAUUUUGUCUUUAAUCUGUCCUGCAGACCUUCCAUGAAUGACCUCUAAAUGUUCAUUAUAACAAUAGACGAAAUAUGGAAUACCAUAACAUGACCAAUCAAAAAUGAUAGCAUCUUCAUGUUCAUCCGUCCACCAAAAAUAUCCUUUAGAAGCUGGUGCCAAUACUUAAGGAUUUCGAAGGGGCACUUCCUCAGUCCCAAUGACCAUUAUCACCCCUGUAACUAUAACAAAUUUUGUUGGGUUGAGGAAUUAAAUCUACAAAAUUGACAAGAAUCCUGCCAACGGUGUCGCAACUGUUAUCUUGUGCUCUAUGCCCGUAUAAACGAAAUGUCCAGUUACCAUAUCAACUCUAAACAUCAGAUACCAUAGGCAACCAUACAAGUAAUGAUGAAUUAAAAAGAAAGAUUUGAACCAUUUUGGAAGAAUGAAGUGCAAUCUCAGCCGAAAGAUGGUGAAUUUGUUAAUAAUCACGAGUUAUUCAGUGAUGGAACAAUUAAAUUGCAUCACAGAUUGCAGGAUUUCAAUUCCAAUCAAACAUUGAUUUGAAACAGAAACCAAAAUCAGUAAAUGAAGCACAAGCAAGAGAGAUCAGAUGGUAGUGCAUGUAAUAUGAUCAUCAUCCAAAUACAGAAAUGGUGGAUACAUAUCCUCACAUCUCCCUUGCAAAACACUACAUCAGAUUCAAAAACUGUCAUUCAAAAUUCAAAUAAAUAACAGAAAAGCAUCGUCCUUUCUCCAUGAAGGGAUCAGAGAUACGUCAAAUCACCAGCUUCCAUAAGGAAGUAAGACUGGGUGUCAUAACAAUACAUCAUCACAUCCCAUUCAAAUGAAAAUAAAAAUAAAACAUUAAACCAGCUGAAAUCAAAGCUAGAAAAUUAGAUUUUGAAGAACACAGGAUCAGACAGAUAUGUCAAUCACCAUCUCGCAAAAGAAUUGCGAGUAAGACUGGGGCGACAAAAUUCAAUCAUCAUUUUCACAAACUUGAAACCUAGAUUGGAGAAAGAGGAUUACAGCGAUGAACACCAUAGCCGCCGAUGGUUUGGAAGUUUCAGAUCAAGCUCUGGCGAUGUAUAUAUAUAAGCUGGACUAGGGUUUUUUUCAGAUUGGGAGAUUUGGGUUUUAUGAAGAUCGCCAACCCGGGAAAUAAUGCAGAGCGGUUUAGAGCUGGGCCUGAUGAGUAUUUAUCAUAAGGCCUAUUGGGCUUUUCGAUGAGCUAAGCCUGUUGGGAAGGGUUAAAUGAUAGGGUUGUUUAUGCGGAGAUAGAGCGUGAGUGAUUGAACUAUUUAUAUUUAUCAUGAACAUAGUGGUGUAGUUGAUUAUUUAGCUAGUAUUGGACACGAAUUGUGAAUUGAUGUACAUAACGUAAUAUUUUUUUAUCUAUGUAUAUUGUAUUAGCUUAACCAUAAUAUAUUGUGAUUAAGAACUUCAAUAGUUUGAACGAGACCGACAAAAGUCAAAUGUAUUAGAAAUUUCUUGUUUAUGUAUUGAUGUACGUAAAGUUGUAUUCAAUACUGAUCGAUUGGGUUCGGUUCUGAUAACAUUGAUUAUAUUUUCUGAUCCAUUUUUGUUGUAUUGCUCGGUUAUUUUGUCUUGGUAAUACUUUGUUUAUAUUGAUGUUGUCAUAUCGCUCAAGUUAAUAACUUAUAAUUAUUCCUAAACCAACUAGCUUGUAAUGCCAUUUUGGGUUGGACUGUGAUGUAACGGACUAAUUGUAUAUUUAUAAUGUAAACAAAUAUCGUUAAAUCUCCAUUAAAUAAUUGCAUAAAAAAUCUCUCUUAAGAAUAAGAGAUUAAAGAUUAAGUGUGAUGAAAACCUACCACUUUAUUUACCAAAGGAAUGUGAUUUCUUUUUUACAUUAUUCUUACUACUUAGUUCAAAACUUGAAUCUAAAAGCUAAAAUUUCCUUAAAAGCACCAAAGAAAUGGUACCCGCACAGUUCAAUUCUGAUGAAUUGAACUCUCAGCGUCUCAAAACUGGUAAUCGUAAGAAAAUAUAUUUGCUAACAAAAUUGGAAAAAUACAAUCGGAGUCUGAGAUACGGAAAUCAAAAUAAUCUUUGGUUUGAUUUCAUCGUCUCUUAAAUGAUGCAGUAGCAGUCCCCUUGUUCUUCGGAGUAUAAGCAAACUCACUGAAGUCGGGAACAGUUGUUACCCUUGCACUUGCAACACAGAAACAAAUUCAUCAUGAACAACCUGACAGAGUAUUACCUCCAAAAAUGAUUUAAAAGAAAACAAAUUCCAGGCCAAUUAAGUUCAUGCAGAAAGUUCUUACCUGGUUGUACAACUAGUGUUCUUAAUGUCCUUCAAAGGGGCUCUCAGACCACUAGCACGAGAACCAUUCGACGACGAGUAUCUAAAAGACGAAAGCAUCGACGCAUAUUUAUCUACCGACUUCUCUGCUAUCUCUGAAUAUCUACCCAAAUGCCUGAUAUUAGCUCCGAAUUUCCCUCCCUCAGUUCGUUCCUCUGUCGGUUCUUCUUCAUCAGACUCACGCGAAGUGCAACCACCACCUUGAAAUUAACACAAUUGCAUGGUCAGAUUGAGCUUUAGGUAAUACUACAGAAUGUUGUUUUUGGCAACGAAACACUCACUGUCCUCCACAAGGGAAGAUGCAUUUGUGCAGAAGUACUUGGAUCUUCUGCUGUCCUGAAUCAAUCAAGAGAAGUUACGUGAGAGAUCAACUGAGAUAAAUUGAGAAAAAGCAUUCAAAGUGGUUUUCUUUACUGACAUUGUCAAUCAGGACAGUCUUCCUUUUCAAAGUAACUUCACUAGAACUCUUUUCACCGUCUUGAAAUGUGGUUUCAUCUUCUUUGUGACUGUCUACAUUCCCUUGUAAGGAACUGUCCGGAGAUGGAUUUCGUGCAAAAUAAGGGCUGGUCACUCUAGCCUUUUCGUUUGUCACGCUCAAAUGAUCGCCAUUGGACCUAUGCAUCUCUUUAUUCUCUUGGCUUUCAUCAUUGGUGGACUUGUGCUGGAAGUAACGACUCCUGACGAUGACCUUUUUGCGCUCUGCUACUUGUGCUCGUUGCUUUUGAUUGGUCUUGGUCUCACAUUCCUUCAGUACAACUUGGCCAGAUUGAUUAAGUGACUGUACAAAAGCUUUGAGAGGCAUAUCUCCUAUGCUUGGUUUCUCUACCUCUGUCCAAUUUUGUAAGCAUGUUUCAAUGAUGUAACUGCGAUAUUAAGAAUAUACAUAAUCUACUUUGUAUACUUGGUUAAGAAGAAGUUAACACUGUUACCAGAACUUGGAUAUUCCGCAAACUUUGGCUCAGUGAGGGUUUCCAUCUGCAUGAAUAGAGUUGUAUGAAUGGUGGGAAAAGGGACUAAUUCAACUUAAGCUAGGUGGUUAACUCUAUUGUACGACACAUCAAUUCCGUUAUAAUGUCAACUGAAAAUGAACCAACUCACCAUAGUAUAGGUAGACGUGCUAGAAUGAUUUUCAGGGGCAGAAGUAGAUGAUGAAGGGCAGUUAAUUCGGCCAGAACCAGCUCCAACGAAGCAAAACUCUUUCAGGCAAGAGCUAUCCACUGAAACUGAACAUGUGGGUGAUUUCCGAGGUGCCUUGAAUUUUCUCUUAGCUUCAAUUGAUGCAAAGCCUUACAUAUUGUUAAAGAAAACCAUGGAAAAGAAACUAGCACAAAACAGAAUGAAGCUUGCAAGGCAGGUGAUAUGAACAGAUAAUAUCAGGUGCUGAAACAAAUAAUAGAGCCAUGAGACACUAAAUUUAUAAACAAACACUUCAUGGCAUACCAUAACCAAUGAAAAGAAAAAACAAAUUGAGAAGGAUACAGAAAUAAUUAGUCAGGAGAUUCUUCUGCACCGGCAGAUCUAUCUUCUUGGCUAUACUUUCAGGUUUAGAGUUCUUCACUUUUGAAGUUCCACUAGUCACAGCUGCACAAUUUGGAGUGCUUUCCUGGAAUGGCGUCUGAGUAAAUGGAUCCAAAUCGCCAGCCGCAAUACCUCUGGCCACAUCUUGUGGAAUCCGUGUAUUCAAAGGUUAAGGAACAGCUGAGAAUUUAGAAAAUAUACAUAAAUCAAAGUAUCCUAAACUCAGAUUGUUAAACCACAAAGAUGACUCCAAAUUUAAAGGAUAUGGGCCAACAAAUUCCCAAUCACCACCAUCCUGACUUUCUGGAAUGUCAGACAAAUGCACAAUAUCCUCAGCAAUAGGAUCAUACACUCGUUGGUGCUUGAAAGUCAGUAUCGCUUUCCCGAAUGAUUCUUGAUAGAAAGGAGGAAUAGAGACAGUGCUAUACUUCAAAUGCUUGAUUACCUGAUUGCAGUCAAUCGUCGAUCAGAAAAUUAGAUGCUAGUUCAAAUAUCAUUUGAAUCAAAUAUGACGUAUGUUGAGUUGUGGUAAAAGUUACCUUCUCAUAAGUUUUAAAUUUCGAGAUUAAUGUGUGCGCCCUUUUCAAGCCCAUUCCAGGUAGUGACUGCAAAUAGUCACAGCCACUCAAAAUGCACAUCUCCAAAACCAUUUGGUUAGUGAAUCCAGCGAAACAUAAUUCCUUGUUCUUCUGAAGCCGGGAAAAUUGAAACUCGACACCUUGCCCAUACUUGUCCAUUUUGAAUAUGAUCUGUAUAAAAAGCUGAUUAAAGCACCACAAAAUCGAAGACAAAGAUAAUCUGAUACGAAAUAUAAACACAUGAUAGUAAGAUGUCCUCUCAACAAACAAACAUUGACCAGAUAACUCACCCUGGGGCAUCCAAAUGCUAUGAGAUCCGAGUCCUCGGUGAUAACUGCAUCCACUUGCUUAUUUAACGCCAUGAAUGUCAUCUGCGCAUCCGCCUCAUAAGGAGCUACAACAUACGGCACAUUUUCCUGCUUCAAGACCUUCAUAUGCAAACCAUGUAAAAAAAUAGCUGGAAUUAAUGAAUUAUACCAACCACGUGUGAUAAGUACCUUAUCAUGACAGGAGCAGGAGAUAAAUAACCAUGAAUAUAACAUUUCUACCUGGAUCAGAUCAUGUGCGAUAGAAGGCGAUAUGUCAACAGCCUUCUGGUAGCACUCAUAAGCUGCAGUCGAGUUCCCGUUUGACUCGUGCUCAAUAGCACGAGAAAGGUUUUCCUUUCUUGACCUACAAAUUGAAGGGAGGGUUACAUGUAAGUCAUAAACAUCACCUUAACUAAUGGAACUACCCGGACCCAUUUAUUGGUGGAAAAGAACAUGCAUUUGGCAAAGCUAAAGCAACAACUACUGGUACCUUGCACGUUUAUUCUCUUGUUCAAGCUUCAUAGGCAGAAAGCCUCCAUCAAAGACGAGAACAGGUUUAACACCAUAAUGCCUCAGCAAAUUCACCCUGUGCAUACAGUACUCAAUGUGCCUAUAACACAAAUCGUGACGGAAUCACCCACUUCAGUAACUAUAAAAUCUAAAUGUUCAAUAAACCAAAGAAGCUCUAAACCCAGUAAGAAACCAAAUGGCAAGUCGCAUAAAAAUGAACUGAAAAAGGAAUCCGUCACUGGGUUUUUUUAUUUAGGGGGAGAGUGAGAGAGACUGAUUGAAACACCUUGAAGUGGGCAGCCCUUUGCAGAGCUGAGUGCUACAGGAAAAUGCACCCUUGUGAAGCCAUGAGUAAGUAUCAACGGCGACGGAACAGCCUUGUAACUCUUUAAUGUGGAACGAUUGCAUCGUGGACUUCAGAAGGGGCAAAAGCCCCUGUAUCCCCAUUUCUUCCUCUGUCUUAACCAAUGAGGGUCGCCGCCGGUAUGUGGAUGGGUUGAAUCGCUUCCGUCGAGGAUUAAUUGGAAGGUGAUUGAUCAGCGUGCGUUUUCCCGAAUCCCAGAAUUCCUCUUCGGCUUCGUCUUGACCUAAUGUCGCGGAUUUUAAAUUUGGCGGGAAUGUUUAGCCAGCAGCAUUUUUCGCUUCUUUUGGGCCUGGUAAGUCCAAUAAGAGAUGGAUAUGAGAAACAUAGAAUAUCCCAUGUGGGCUUUUCUUAAAACACAUGCUAGCUAACCCUAAAGUCAAAAAAACACACCACCUUGUAAUUAUAUUGAUAAUAAUGACACAUGUGCGAAAAAAGAAUAGAUGGAUCAAAUCGAUAAUUAUCAUGUCGUGUGCCAGCCGUUAAAAUAUGCAUGAGAAAGUUCAACCAACCAAGUACACAUACAAAAUUACAAAGAACAAGUAGGAGAAAGUAAUGAGGACCAUUGAUUGAUUUGUUGAAAGGGAAACCGUGGGACUACUCAACCAACCGAUAUAUAUAUACACUAAUACUGCCAAGUGCCCCACUACUGGCGGCUUCUGCUGCUUCUUCCUAUCGCCCACAUGAUUAAUUAUACAAAGCAAACGUGCACCGUGUAUUAAUCCAUGGCUCCCAUUACAUGUUCAGUUUCGGGAUAAGGAGAUCAUAUCCGAUAAAUUAACCGGUUAUAGAGUUCUUAAAAAUUAUAUAAUAAGGAUUUUGGUUGCACCCUACAAUUUGUUGAAUGAUCCGAGUCCAAAUAAUUAUGGAAACCGGUGAUCGUCGACGAAAUGGUGGUCUAUAUUUAAACAUGAAACACCUACAUUUUUGUCAUUACGGAACUAGGGUGGAGUUAGGAUGACGUUCAUCUCACCCUUUCCCAUUCCAUGUCAGUAUCAAUAUUCUAGGUACGUCUUGAAAUUUUGCUAGCUUGAUUAAUUGGGUAUUCUUUUUAGUAUGGAUUACUUCUAGUUUUAGUACUGCUCGUUUAUUUUUUGUACUAAAAAUUAGCAAUCUUAAUUGAUUAAAUUUAUAAGAUAUUGUAAUCUACACGAUUGUUUAAAUAUGGACAUACGUGUUUUACACAAUUGUAUUUUAAUUUAUCAAUUAUAGAAAAUCGUGUUCAAAUUUAAACGAUAUAAUAUUUUCCAUGAUGUGAUGAUGAUAUAUCUUUUUCCCACUUAACAAGGGAUGAGUUACAGGAAAAAUAAAUUGACAAAAUAAGCCACGUGGAAAUUUAAUUCUCACGCUGUUUCCCUUCCUCUUAUUUAUUUGGAAUAUGACUAGGAUUUUCUACAUGGAAGAGUUUUGUACAAAGAUGUGACAGAAUGGUCGAUAAACACGUUUUAUGUCAAAGUACAAACAAGAAAUUAAAAUUAAUUUGGUUAUUCGUGAUUGGACCAAAACAAUAAUUUAUAUUUUCACCUACAGGAAAAAAAGAUAAUUAAUUUGACGAUUAUUGUCGGGACAUUUGUCGGCCCGUUUUGUUUUGGCCUAUGGGCCCUACUGGUGGUAUACAGAUCCCACUUGUACGCACAGCUCACUCCACAGCCACACAUUGAUCUCCUCGGCUCGUGUCUAAACUCUAAACACCAACACCAAAAACAUGUACGUACUAUGAGGAUUUCACACCUACAAAUGUACUAUAAAGGAUUCGAUACGUUUAAAUACGUAAUGUAUUGUAGGGAGCCUAAAAAUGACGUAGGAUUUAGUAUUUAUAGUCUCAUCAUCGAGUGAAUUGCUCUUAUUCUUCUAAUUGAUGUGAUCAGUGUUAUCUUAAUCAUCAACUCGAAACGAUCUAUUGAGAUCUCGCCACAUAUUACAAUAAGUGGAGACUUUACCGGCCGUAAUGUGUUAAGUCUAUGGCGAGCUUCCGAACCCUAUCGCCCAAAAACCUCCAAACAAUCCAUUUCCAACUAAAAUUAGACACCCAAACUCAAAAAAUCAAUCUAACAACAUCGACUCUUAUAUAAACCUUCUCUCUAUCAAAACUAUCAAAUAUUAGAAAGAACAAGACUUGAGAAGUAGUUGAUUAAUUAUUAAUUAUGAUUAAAUCAUUGAGGGCCCAGAAUUUGAAAAGUAGUGGAUGUGCCCAAAUACGGAUAUAAAUAGAAAAAUAUAUAUUCAUAUUAGUCCUUCUUUAAAAAGAAAUGGAAGAAUAUCCUAAUUUCCGCAACACAACAGGAUUGCCAGGUAUAUUCCGUGCAAUUACAUGUAAAUAAUUAAUUAGUUAGAUAGAGUGUGGCCCUGAGACGACUCAACUUGUUAUUUAUAAUUUAGUCCUUGCUUUGCUUGCAUUAAUCCCCCAUUACUACAAAUAAAAUAGAGCCGUUUCCAAAUCAACCUGACAAAAUUUCCUUCCCCAUAAACCCAACCAAAAUUCCACCGCUCCAAAAAACCAGAGAGAUAAAGAGAAGAAUUGGCGGCCUGAGCUGAAGAAAAUCCAAUGACCCAGAUGGCUAUCUUUACUGGGCUCUCUUCAAUCUACUCAGUCCUCAGCGAGUCAGCUGGAGUCGCCGGAAAUCUCUGUGCUUUCGUACUCUUCGUCUCACCGAUGUAAGUUUCCCCUCUUCUUCUUCUUCUUCUACUGCAAUUUCUCCGGUUUUCUGGGGUUUUUGUAAUCUUAGAUUUUGAAAAUUUUCUAUCUUUGCCAGACCAACGUUUAGGAGAAUUAUCAGGAACCAGUCAACGGAGCAGUUCUCUGGAUUGCCGUACAUAUACUCUCUUUUGAACUGCUUGAUUUGCCUUUGGUAUGGGAUGCCCUUCGUUUCCCCCAAUAUCAUACUGGUCGCCACUGUCAAUUCCAUUGGGGCGGUCUUCCAGUUUGUCUACAUAGCCAUCUUCAUUGCCUAUGCUGAUAAAACCAAGAAGGUGAGAGCAGAUUUUUUGAAGGGUGUUGUCUAAGGGUUUGGAAUUUUGAUCGAAUUUUCAAGGGUUUUGAUGUGUUUUGGUUGGAAUGUGUCUGCCCUUUUGCAGGUGAAGAUGUCGGUGUUGCUAGGUGCGGUGUUUGUGUUGUUUGCUGCAAUUGCCUUUGUGAGCUUGAAAUUCAUGGAGUCUCACGUCAGGCAGUUGUUCAUUGGAUAUUUGAGUGUCUUCUCUUUGAUUUCCAUGUUUGCUUCCCCACUUUUUAUCAUUGUAAGUUUUUUAACUCUGGUUGCAUUUGGUUUGGAUCUCUUGGCUCCUGGGUGUAAUUUUUGACAGUUUGAAUGGGUUGGAUUUUUGAACACAGAAUCUGGUGAUCAAGACUAGGAGUGUAGAAUACAUGCCGUUCUUCCUUUCGCUUGCAACAUUCGUGAUGAGCCUCUCGUUCUUAGCAUAUGGACUGCUCAAGGACGAUACUUUCAUAACCGUAAGUACCACAUUUGUCUUCAUUGCUAUAUGGCAUAUAUGCUGCAGUAUUUAGUUUCGAACUGGCCUUCCUUUAGUUUCUUCAACCUGUCGAUUUCCUAACGUUUAUUAUUGAUGGUACGAGCGUUCUGUAUGUUAGUCCACCAAGGUGACAUUUUUCCUUUGUUUCGAUCUACCUUGUUGACACACAGGUACCGAAUGGAAUUGGUACGAUUCUGGGGGUAGUUCAAUUGGCACUGUACUACCACUACAGCAACAGAUUCAGUGAAAACUCGAGAGAACCGUUGCUAGCAGAAUUUGCAUAACCCCUGUAAAGUAUGAUUGUUUGCUCAUGUUUGAUCUAUAUUGAAUCAGCGAAAGUAAGAGUAAGUAUGACUAUAGAAAACUUGUUGGAAUCUGCAGAGUGUGUGUUUUGGCAAUGGUACGUUGUCAAUGGAAUGCAACCAACAUUGGUGUUCCAAUCGCAGUGCAUCGAAUCGAACAUGCAGAGCAGGUUUAUGGUUAAAAUCGAGUUUAGCUGCAACUUCUCUGCUGUCAUCUUUGUACUUCCCAUCUAGAAAGAACCAUGCUUUCUGUGUGACAAGACCGUUGUUUUUUCUGGAGGAGGUCAUAUCACCGGAACAAGUUUCUUUCAUUUGUUCAUUCGAGUCGUUUACGUAGUGUAUAAAGCCAGUAGAGUCUUGUCUAAGGGUUUGGAAUUUUGAUCGAAUUUUCAAGGGUUUUGAUGUGUUUUGGUUGGAAUGUGUCUGCCCUUUUGCAGGUGAAGAUGUCGGUGUUGCUAGGUGCGGUGUUUGUGUUGUUUGCUGCAAUUGCCUUUGUGAGCUUGAAAUUCAUGGAGUCUCACGUCAGGCAGUUGUUCAUUGGAUAUUUGAGUGUCUUCUCUUUGAUUUCCAUGUUUGCUUCCCCACUUUUUAUCAUUGUAAGUUUUUUAACUCUGGUUGCAUUUGGUUUGGAUCUCUUGGCUCCUGGGUGUAAUUUUUGACAGUUUGAAUGGGUUGGAUUUUUGAACACAGAAUCUGGUGAUCAAGACUAGGAGUGUAGAAUACAUGCCGUUCUUCCUUUCGCUUGCAACAUUCGUGAUGAGCCUCUCGUUCUUAGCAUAUGGACUGCUCAAGGACGAUACUUUCAUAACCGUAAGUACCACAUUUGUCUUCAUUGCUAUAUGGCAUAUAUGCUGCAGUAUUUAGUUUCGAACUGGCCUUCCUUUAGUUUCUUCAACCUGUCGAUUUCCUAACGUUUAUUAUUGAUGGUACGAGCGUUCUGUAUGUUAGUCCACCAAGGUGACAUUUUUCCUUUGUUUCGAUCUACCUUGUUGACACACAGGUACCGAAUGGAAUUGGUACGAUUCUGGGGGUAGUUCAAUUGGCACUGUACUACCACUACAGCAACAGAUUCAGCGAAAACUCAAGAGAACCCUUGCUAGCAGAAUUUGCAUAACCCCUGUAAAGUAUGAUUGUUUGCUCAUGUUUGAUCUAUAUUGAAUCAGCGAAAGUAAGAGUAAGUAUGACUAUAGAAAACUUGUUGGAAUCUGCAGAGUGUGUGUUUUGGCAAUGGUACGUUGUCAAUGGAAUGCAACCAACAUUGGUGUUCCAAUCGCAGUGCAUCGAAUCGAACAUGCAGAGCAGGUUUAUGGUUAAAAUCGAGUUUAGCUGCAACUUCUCUGCUGUCAUCUUUGUACUUCCCAUCUAGAAAGAACCAUGCUUUCUGUGUGACAAGACCGUUGUUUUUUCUGGAGGAGGUCAUAUCACCGGAACAAGUUUCUUUCAUUUGUUCAUUCGAGUCGUUUACGUAGUGUAUAAAGCCAGUAGAGUCUGUCAUAUAUAUAGUGUGCACAAAAGCAUUCUCCAACCUGUUUCCACAAUGUCCAUGAAGAGCUGGAGUUUGGAACCAUGGAAUUAUUCUUUGUUCUCUAUUCUUUUUCUGGGUCAUGAGAACCUUCAAUUCUUUACGUCUGUUCUAUUUCCUUGUUGGUGUAUGAAACGCAAGAGUGAAAGUUUGUUUACUUGUAGUUGCAUUUGCUCCAUACAAAUGUGUGAGUUGUUCUCCUGAAGUAUCUCGACUAUGUCACUCAAAAGAAACUAUUUGUGAAGUUUGGUUUUGUUAGGUGGAAAGUUGGAUGAAAUUUUUAGUAUUUUUUUUUAUUAGAUAAAAUAUUUAGAAUUUGACAGAAGUUAUUUUAAAAAGCAAACUUAACCGUUAUUAUCUAAACUCCAACAAACUUUCAGAACAAAAAAAAAAA
rnacentral:lncRNA from 1 species